UUUACUGCUCGCACUGCUUGCCAGUGCUAGCAACAAAUAUUGCGGAGCCACCGGAAUAUUUGGCAUGUUGGUAGUUAGCAGUUUCAUAUUACAAGUACAUUUUUAUUUUAAUACUUUUAGUUAAAUUAACGAUAGCAGAGGCCUGGUAUUAGUGGAUGUUCAAAAGUACAACAAACCAGGCAAAUGAAUUGACAGUGCUGCAAUGAAAUAACAGCCAUGAGUCAGAGCGUGACGUAUACAUAUACAGCAUCAAUGAGAUACGGAUUCCAAUGUGCAUGCUUUUACGCAAUGUACUUAUAUAACUAUCAAUUAAUCGCGCAACGUGCGUGUAGUUGUUUUUAUAUAUAGACGUUAGUCUCUCCGCGAUGAUAAGGAAUCGCAUUCAUAACCAUGAUAGCAAACAAGUGCUAUGAGAACACUGUACAUGAUAUUUGGCAAGAAAUGACAAGUGAGGAUAAAAGAUAUGCAGCGGAAUAUUUGAAUGAAACUGACGAAAACAAAGAGAACGCCGUGGCGGAGAUUAAACGCUGGAUCGAAGAAAACGAUAAUUUGCCGACGCAAAUUGAUGAUUUUCUUAUUCUACGUUUUUUGAGGGUUUGCAAAUUUGAUCUCGAGAAAACUAAAGUCAGGAUUCAAAAUUAUAAUAAGCAGCGAUCCAAGUUACCGGAAUGGUACAAAAAUAAAGAUCCAUUUCAAUCGGAACUACAAGAGGUGCUUGAUUUGGGGAUGUUUUUGCCUCUGCGGAAACCGGACAAUAAAGGAAGAUUGAUCAUUCUCAUACGCGGUACUCUGCAUGAUCCAAGAAAGAAUAAGAUAUCAGAUUUAGUUAAGAACUAUAUAUUGGCAAUGGAAGCGGCAGUCAAGUUUUAUCCCGCAAUGUCUGUGUAUGGUUGCUCACUGUUAAUAGACGUAUCUAAUCCAACUAUGCGUCACAUUAUUCAAAUUAAACCCUACGAGUUAAUGAAUGUGGUUCAAAUGUGGCAGAGCUGUUAUCCUAUGAGAUUUCAGAAAAUUAUUCUCUUCAACACGUCAAUAAUCGCCGAUUUUAUUGUGAGAAUUUUCAAAUCUUUUAUGUCCAACAAGAUGAAAAGCAGAUUUCACGUCUAUUCAAACGCUCUCCAUUGUUUUGAAGAUAUUCCAGCUAAUAUCUUGCCUGUCGAAUAUGGUGGUACUGAUGAUACACUUCAGGAAUUAACAGAAUUUUGGAAAACAAUUAUCGAAGAAAAUUGCGAUUUCCUUACGAAGGAUGAAAACUACUCAAAAAACUAAAUUUGCAGAGACAGAUUUUAAACAGAUUAUCUAUUAUUAUUGAUAGUGUAAUUAAAUAAAUACAGUUAAGAUAAAUUAUUUAUUAACAAUUAACAAAAGCUAAGAAUUUAUUGGAUUUUAAAAUAAUUUUGUAAGGAAUCGAGCAAAGAAAGGACUGGGAGUUUCUUACCAAUGGCAAAAUAAAAUAACUUUUUACACCAAA